CCUACGGGGAGCAGCAGUGAGGAAUAUUGGUCAAUGGGCGUAAGCCUGAACCAGCCAAGUCGCGUGAGGGAUGAAGGUUCUAUGGAUCGUAAACCUCUUUUAUAAGGGAAUAAAGUGUGGGACGUGUCCUGUUUUGUAUGUACCUUAUGAAUAAGGAUCGGCUAACUCCGUGCCAGCAGCGGCGGUAAUACGGAGGAUCCGUGCGUUAUCCGGAUUUAUUGGGUUUAAAGGGUGCGUAGGCGGCCUUUUAAGUCAGCGGUGAAAGUCUGUGGCUCAACCAUAGAAUUGCCGUUGAAACUGGGAGGCUUGAGUAUGUUUGAGGCAGGCGGAAUGCGUGGUGUAGCGGUGAAAUGCUUAGAUAUCACGCAGAACCCCGAUUGCGAAGGCAGCCUGCCAAGCCAUGACUGACGCUGAUGCACGAAAGCGUGGGGAUCAAACAGGAUUAGAUACCCCUGUAGUC
rnacentral:rRNA from 1 species